CACGAACGCUGGCGGCAGGCUUAACACAUGCAAGUCGAGCGCCCCGCAAGGGGAGCGGCAGACGGGUGAGUAACGCGUGGGAAUCUACCCAUCUCUACGGAAUAACGCAUGGAAACGUGUGCUAAUACCGUAUACGUCCUUCGGGAGAAAGAAUUAUCGGAGAUGGAUGAGCCCGCGUUGGAUUAGCUAGUUGGUGGGGUAAGGGCCUACCAAGGCGACGAUCCAUAGCUGGUCUGAGAGGAUGAUCAGCCACACUGGGACUGAGACACGGCCCAGACUCCUACGGGAGGCAGCAGUGGGGAAUAUUGGACAAUGGGCGCAAGCCUGAUCCAGCCAUGCCGCGUGAGUGAUGAAGGCCCUAGGGUUGUAAAGCUCUUUCACUGGUGAAGAUAAUGACGGUAACCGGAGAAGAAGCCCCGGCUAACUUCGUGCCAGCCGCCGCCGUAAGAC
rnacentral:rRNA from 1 species